GUCAAGAUCACCGAGCGGUCUAAGGCGCCAGAUUUAAGCUCUGGUUCUCGAAAGAGAGCGUUGGUUCGAACCCCACUCCUGACA